rnacentral:rRNA from 1 species
UACGUAGGGGGCUAGCGUUGUCCGGAAUCAUUGGGCGUAAAGAGCGUGUAGGCGGCCCGGUAAGUCCGCUGUGAAAGUCGGGGGCUCAACCCUCGAAUGCCGGUGGAUACUGUCGGGCUAGAGUGCGGAAGAGGCGAGUGGAAUUCCUGGUGUAGCGGUGAAAUGCGCAGAUAUCAGGAGGAACACCAAUUGCGAAGGCAGCUCGCUGGGACGUAACUGACGCUGAGGAGCGAAAGCGUGGGGAGCGAACAGG